AAUAUUUGCUGAUGUAGUCUUGUAAUUUGCAUUUACUUAAGCAAUAAUUCAAUUAUGCAGACUCGUGAAUUUUUUUUUUUUUUUCUUGAUGAAACAUUGAUUGUGCAUUGUAGGCACAGAAAGCAGAAAGGGAGGCCUCAGAUCUGAAAGGGACUAUGAGGAAAAGAAUGGAAUUCCUUGACUUUGACUAGUCAACCCUGAUUCAUCCUUCACCUUCCCCGUCCGCAAAUAUUAUAGCGGCUGUUCUUCAUAUAUUUUGCUUUCUUUUUCUCUGCUAUUGUUGCCUUUCAUGGGAGGGUUCAAUACUCUUGAAUUUUGUUCUGUAAUAUUAGCCUCAGGAAUCAUUACUAUCAUUCAUUUGCUUUCAAAAAAUUCUCAAUUAAUAUCGGCUCCUCUAAUGGAUGCAUAUUAAAAUUAAAAUAUUAAAAUUAAAAUAUUAAAAUAUAAAUACAUUUGCAAUCACUAAGUAAAACAUUAAAAAUACACUCAGUUCCUUUUCUGUGUAAAAAAUUGUGUUAAAUCAACUCUAAAAAAAUAAAUACCAUUUUGAAUUAAAUGACAAAUAUGAGUUUGAUGCAAACUGAUAUAGUCCCGAGCAGUUCUAGUUGGAUGUUGAGUAUAACAUUCCAAAUUUUAGAUGUCACGAAAAUGUAAUAAAUAACUUUUUUCAAAAAUAAAAUCAUUACUAUGUCGAUUAAUGUAAUACAUAUUAUAAAAUAAUAUAAGGUAUUAUAUGAAUUGAGUUUCAUAAUUAUCAUCAUAUAAGGCUUAUGAGCAAAACUAUGAUGCUUCCAUUAGUAUUAUGUUCAAUUUUAGUCAGAACUCUAUAGGUAAGAUAUCUAUCCUUUUCUGCCUGUUUCAAAGAGGAAAGUGCAACAUUCGAAUUCUAACCCUUUUUAUCGUUUUUCAUGGAUGAAGAGAUCCAUCUCUUUCAUCGUCUCUUAAAAAUGAAGAGUUUGUUGUAAACCUGAUAUAGCGAUGAGCGACACUAAUAAGUCAUUGAAUGCAAGUUUGAUUGUGUAAGUUUGGAAAUAUUUUGGCUUCAGAUCUCUAAGUGUCCCUUUUCACCACUAAGCGUCCAAUUUUGCAAAUGCUUUGACACUGAGUGAUAGUAGGACACUAUUGAACGCCAUCUUGUAUUAUAAGUAUGAAACAGUUUAAUUCUAGGUCGUUGAGCGACAGAAGAGUGUUGUUGAACACCCGACUUUUUGAGAGAAGAAUGGCAUUAAGCGCCAUCUUUCACGAGAAGUCUGAUGCUCAAGUGGCACCUCUAAGCAAUGCUUGAUUUGUCCUUCACUUUUUGGAUAUUUGACAAUGAUUUAAAUGAACUUUAAGUAUGUUUGUAAGAAUUGUGACUACGUGUGUGAAAAUGAUGAUUUUGUUAUUGAAAUGUUUGAAAAUGUUGUUGAGAGAUUUUUUUCUAAAUGGUAGUGGUGUUUAGUGUAUGUUUUGACUAAUGAGAGUUUAGAAAGGAGGUAUCAUGAUAUUUUAUCGACUAUUAAACUCAUAUAAAGAGAAACGGUAGGGGAAGAGAAUGGUAAGAGGUCAUAACCACUCAACUAUUUAGUCCUAGGCAUAAAUGGGACUAACUUGUGAAUAGUAGGGUGAUAACCCCAGUGAUUAAGACAUGUAGAAAAUAUAAAUAUUAGUACAAGUACACGCCUAGAAUGAAACUUUAUAUCAAUGACAUGUAUCCAGUUUAGAUAAUUGAGUAUAGUAUCAUAUAUUUAUAUGCGUGUUUCUAUGAAUUAUUAUUUCAUCAAUGUUUAUAUGUGAUGUGAUUUAUUGUCUUCGGUACUUUUUUUUUUUUUGUUGCACACUAGUUUUUAUCAUGCUUUCUCUUAUUUUUAUGUUUUGUUGUUUUUUUUGGUGAUGAUUACCUCUUUGUGUGAGAGAUAAUGAGUUAAAUGUUAUACGCAUUCGGUGGAAGAUAAUGAUAGUUAUAUAGUUUCUACUAGAUGUUUUGUAUAGAAGUUUUCUUUCUUUUUUAAAAAUUCUAAUAUAUAUGGUUUUUAAUCAUAUGUUGUAUAUUAUCAAACUUUUUUUAAUGAUUUAUUUGUAGUUUUGCAUUAUCAUCAGAAUGAAGGUCACGGUGGAAAUAAAACCUACACCACGAGUAUGUGUUUAAUAUUUUUAUUAUAGUUAUAAAAGUAAAUUAAAAUAAUUUCACUAUUUUACAUCAUGUUUUUAGAUAUUUUCUCAGUAGUUAUUUUAGUUUAAAAGAAUAGUUAAAUUUUAAGAAAAAAUAUUUAGAAAAAAUUAUCACUUAAAAAUAAAAUAUUUACUUUGAUUAAAAAAUAGUUAAAAGAUAAAUUUGAAAAUAAAAUAUGUAUAUCAAAAGAAAAUCUCUUUACAUAUUAAUAUAAGUUUAUUGUAAAAUAAUUAAAUUACUUCGAUAAAAAUACUAAACAUAAAAAAUGAUUUAUAGAUUCUUAUAGAAAAUAAAUUAAAAAAAAAGAAUUCUAACAUGUACAAGGAAGGCAGUAAAUGAAAGAAAGUCGUUCCAAAGAAAAUAAUAUUCAGUUUUAUAAGAAUUUUCCGCGUAGAUUACUUUUAUAAUAUAAAGGCAAAUAAAAAUGUAUUGUAAAUAAAUAUUUAAACUCUUUUAGAAAUAAAAGUAAAUUCUAUUGUAAAUAAAUGCAUACAAAACUCUGCACUAAACCAUUUUAGAAAUCUUUUUUCUUCCCAUAAUUUCAAUAAGAAUGAAUUUUAACGAAAACGCAGUAUUGUUUUGAUUCAACAAACCUUCUGAAUCUAUCCCAAAAUCACAGUCUCGAAACCCUAGAAGAUCAAGCUCCCCUUUUUCUUUCUCUCGUUUCCCUUUCAAAAAAGGCUCCCUUUCCACUCCUAGUCGGCGAUUGGAUCUCUGGGCUUUCUUUCUUUCAGCGAUUUCGAUCUUAAACCCGAGGCUUUGAACUUGUGAAUUCAGAUUGAAGCGAUUGGGGGUGAAAAGAUUUGAGUUGGCGCUGGCAAUGCCAUUAUUGUGGUUAGUGAGGAGCUAUUCGGUGAUUUUUGAGAUACCGAAAACGCAAAAUGUCUUGGGCAGGCCCUGAGGAUAUUUACCUUUCCACUUCACUUGCUAGCUAUCUUGACAGUGAGCACUAUUCUUUUUUUUUUCCUCUCAUGUUGAUACACGCUUCAAAUUUAAUAAUUUAUGUGAAAGAUUGCAUUCUUGACAUAGUUAUGCCCAGCCUUUCUUUUUGGUUCUUGCUUUCAUCGUGUAAUGUGUAAAGGGUAAAUUUUUAAUGGCAAAAAGUUGUGGACUUGGUUCGAAACGAGUUGUUUAUGGAGGGGGAGUUCUUUUUUAGUAUUCAACUUUGUCUUGUAUUUUUGUGGAAAGUGAGGGUUCAAUUUUCAUUGAGAGUUUUAGGUUGGACUUGACUAUUGUUUUGGACAUUACGAGGCUGCAGGGGAAAGGGAAGGGUCAUGAUUUUGACUGAUAGAUUCCUAUUGUGCAUGUUUGUUACGAGCUAUGUAUACCAAAGCAAGAAAAAAAAAAUCAUUCUUCCAAAAUGUUAUUAGGGAAGAAGGAAUUUCAGGUACUACAAAUUAAAUUAGUUCUAUGUUUGUGUGGACAAUAUUGCUAUAGUCGCCCAUGUAAAAGUGAGCGCAUGAGAAUAUGCUAUUUUACGAUCACCUAUUGAUGUUAGGACAAUAUUGCUUUUGAAUUGUAAUUUGUGUGAUUGAAUAGUUUUGACGUCACAUUGCUUUUGCUUUUGAAUUGUAACUUGUGUGAUUGAAUAGUUUUCAUGUCACAUUGCUUUUGGUAUAUUUAGUAUAUUAGGCUUUCUGAAAGGGAUUUUGGCUAGAUAUUGUUCAAAAGCAAUGUAACCCAUUGAAUGUGGUAAAUUAAUCUUGGUUUUUCUUGUAGGUGAGGCUGAUUUUGUAUUGUGUACUAAUUUGUAUGGUCUGACAAUAAUUGUUGUUGUAGAGAAACUUCUUGUAUUACUGAGAGAUGGCAGAAAGCUCAUGGGGAUACUUCGCUCUUUUGAUCAAUUUGGUACCAACUUGACCUUAAAUUACGUAUAGUUUUGACAGGCAAUAGUUUGACUUUGUAAAAUUUCACAUCAAUAAUUGCAGCUAAUGCAGUUCUUGAGGGUGCCUGUGAGAGGGUUAUUGUUGGUGAUCUGUAUUGUGACAUCCCUUUGGGUCUCUAUGUAAUCCGUGGAGAAAAUGUUGUUCUAAUCGGUGAGCUGGUAAGGUUACUGAUUGCUUCCCUUUGCAUCUAAAAGUAUUUUCUAAUUUUCCGUCUUAUUUAACAUGUCUUUCAACAUUUAGGACUUGGAGAGGGAGGAACUUCCUGAACACAUGACUCGUGUUUCUACAGCAGAAAUCAAGAGGGUAAAUAUUCUUAAAUUUUUUCUAUAAUUACUUUAUUUUCUUUGUGUGAUUUUCUGUCUCCUUAUCUCCCCUUAGUUGUCUAAAGAUAACAGUAUGCUGUGACUCUGUCAAUGUUUCAUUGCUUUCCUACUUUUCUUUACAAAGCUUUAUUGCAUGAGGAUUAUACUAAAGUGUGUAGGAAUGAACAUAUUUUAUAUUUUGUUUCUAACAUCUUCUAAUGAUUUGAUAAGUAACUGUGUGCUGGGGAAAUAAUGGCAAACUAUUUUGAUGAUGAGCAAGAAGUGGACAUACUAAGUACUCAUUUGAAUGGGCCUAUAUUAAAUACUUAUGAACCCUACCUACCUAAUUCUAUCCCAUUGAGUUAAUAACGAAUUCCUCAACACUGUCAUUUAUUUUUUUUUCUGUAUGUUGAGAUAUACUCUUCCAUGCUCCAAUCAACCAUAUCCUGGGUUUGAUUUUGAAGCCAGUGUUAAUGAUAAAAUCAUAUUUAGCUAUUGUAUGUAUUCUCUGUGAACAAAAGUAAUCUCAUUACUAUAAUUAUACAGAAAGAUGUUCUAAAAGUUUGAUGAUCUGUUUAUAAACCCGACAUAGUACCCCAAUGGGAUUAAAAUCCCAAAACUAUAUAUUUGGGUUUAUUGGCCUUUUGUUAUGAUUUGGAAAUAGUUGCUGGUUUAGUCCUAUUAUUUGCAUUUAUUUAAGCAAUAACUCAAUUAUGCAGACUGUGAAAUUUUGUUCUUUUUUAAUGGAACUUCGAUUGUGCAUUGUAGGCACAGAAAGCAGAAAGGGAGGCCUCAGAUCUGAAAGGGACAAUGAGGAAAAGAAUGGAAUUCCUUGACUUUGACUAGUCAACCCUGAUUCAUCCUUCACCUUCCCCAUCCGCAAAUAUUAUAGCGGCUGUUCUUCAUAUAUUUUGCUUUCUUUUUCUCUGCUAUUGUUGUCUUUCAUGGGAGGGUUCAAUACUCUUGAAUUUUUUUCUGUAAUAUUAGCCUCAGGAAUCAUUACUAUCAUUCAUUUGCUUUCAAAAAAUUCUCAAUUAAUAUAAGCAUGAUUUCAAUUCCUUACCAUUUUCUAGAUUUGGGUUGAAAGGCUU
rnacentral:lncRNA from 1 species